rnacentral:rRNA from 1 species
AUGAAAACCAAAAGAAAGAAGAAAGAAAAAGGUAGAAGAAGAAAGGAAGAAGAAGAAAGAAAGAAAAAAGAAAAAGGAAGAAGAAGAAAGAAAGAAGAAAGAGGAAGAAGAAAGGAAGAAGAAGAAAAAAAGAAGAAAAAAGGAAGAAGAAAGAAACCAAAUGAAAACCAAAAAGAAAAACAAAGAAAACAAAACAAAAUACUUGGCAGUGCUCAAUAA